rnacentral:rRNA from 1 species
CUUCCGUAAGGGGAACCUGCGGAAGGAUCAUUACCGAGUGAGGGCCCUCUGGGUCCAACCUCCCACCCGUGUUUAUCGUACCUUGUUGCUUCGGCGGGCCCGCCUCACGGCCGCCGGGGGGCAUCCGCCCCCGGGCCCGCGCCCGCCGAAGACACACAAACGAACUCUUGUCUGAAGAUUGCAGUCUGAGUACUUGACUAAAUCAGUUAAAACUUUCAACAACGGAUCUCUUGGUUCCGGCAUCGAUGAAGAACGCAGCGAAAUGCGAUAAGUAAUGUGAAUUGCAGAAUUCAGUGAAUCAUCGAGUCUUUGAACGCACAUUGCGCCCCCUGGUAUUCCGGGGGGCAUGCCUGUCCGAGCGUCAUUGCUGCCCUCAAGCACGGCUUGUGUGUUGGGCUCUCGCCCCCCGCUUCCGGGGGGCGGGCCCGAAAGGCAGCGGCGGCACCGCGUCCGGUCCUCGAGCGUAUGGGGCUUCGUCACCCGCUCUGUAGGCCCGGCCGGCGCCCGCCGGCGAACACCAUCAAUCUUAACCAGGUGACCUCGGAUCAGGUAG